AAACCUGUUUGGAAUUAGCGUGUAACAUGGGUUUUAGAUUUGGCGUCUUGCUUUGUAAACAUCUUUUUGUAAACAUUUUAUGAAUUCCGUUGCCCAAACUCAAAAGUGGGGAUUGAUACCGCUCUCAUAACUGCCUGCUUGAUAGGAAGCCAGCAGCCAAAGCUGAACUCAGCACAGGGCUGGAAAGGGAGCGUGAGGAUAGGCUGCGAAAUCCUCUAAAGUUGCUGACUACAGACAGGAGAGACAGGAGUUUGGCACAGCAGCCGUACGAGAGUCCAGCACUCACCUGCUCUUUUGCCUGGAUGGUGCAGAAUAGCUCAGCAGUGUGAAAACCAGAGGGUUGCAUUCAUGCUCUGCAACUAAGGCCAACUGGCAAAGUUUAGAGCACAGCAGUUCUGUUCAUUCAAGUCUAAGAAAUGGCUGGUAUGUGCUAGAUAUGUGCACAAUUAGUCAGCCGGAGGCUUGAAUGUUGGUAUGCUUGCUGGUCGGCUGAAGUAAUUAUUCAUAUUUUAUUAACCCUCUGAGGACUGAGUUAUCAAAGGUGUUAAUCCCAAUCCCUUCAUAUGAAGAAAGAAACAGAUAUUUGUGUAAAAUAAGACAUAAUGUGUGAUGGGUCUGUAUAGUCUCUAUAGUCUUUAUUCCAUGAUGGCCAAGACAGCCACUUUGUUAGGUUCACCCAUUCAACUGCUUCUAAAUGCAGAUUUCUAAUCAGCCAAUCAUAUGACAGCAACUCAAUGCAUUUAUGCAUCUUUGAAAGUGGUGUGCUUUUUAGAACUAAUUGCAACAUGGACCUCAGAGGGUUAAUGUACAAUGCCAGUGACAGGAAAUUGUUAACCAGUAAAAUGGACAGUUCUGCACAAUUUAAUAUAUUUGGUUAAUUAAUAAAUUGAUUAACAGCUUCAGAUGACUCUCAGUUACACACAAAAUAUUUGUACGGACAACGUUAAACCUCAUCUGUCAAAUCUGGCUCAAUUUUUGACGGUUUGCUGAUUUCUUACCAGUCAGUUAAUCCAAUUUCAUUCUCCUAUUUAAAUGUAGGAAAAGAAGUGAAUUGAAAAGGGAAAAAGUGAAUUGUAACCCAUAACUAUACAAUCUGUUCAUUAUGAGAUAUUGUUGGUGUGGAAAGGGAAAAUAGAAAAGAAAUAAUUAUGUAAAAAAACAAAACAAAAACUUAAACAUAUUUCAAGGAAAAGUCACUGCAUGUCCAUCCAAGCUGAGCUGCUGUUAGUGUCUUUGUGUAGGUGUGCGUGUAAGUGUGAGUUCUUGUCUGUUUAGUCUAAAGUCACGAUUCGGUUCUUUGGAGUUUAGACUGGAAAUUCUUUGAGGUGAGUAAUGUUUUUGGAGUUUUUUCGGUUUUGUUUUAACGAAUUCACUGCAGCCUGUAUUGAAACGGGCAACUCUCAGGGCAUUUCUACAUGUGCUGCUCUGCAGAUACUAACGGCA
ensembl:lncRNA